UGAGGGAUUUGUUACUGUUAAGGUCAAGAACUUCAUACCUGGGCAAGAAUUUAUUGUUGCAGAUGAGCCUCGUCUUGGAUAUUGUCUUCGUCAGCUGUAGACCCUGAGGGGCGGAGAAGGUUCUUGGGUGAUGGUGAAACCAACGAAGUAGCUCCUGUCUAGUUAAUUGGUUCUUCAUGAAUUAGUUCUUCCUGCAAGAAGAUUGUGAGUCAACAUAUGGUGAAACUAUUAAUGUUAUCAAUUAACAGUUCAACCUUAAUCGAUGAUAGUGGUUGCUGCUGGUUCAGAUCGUGUUGCUCUUGCAAAUUUCAUUUUCUAAGUGGGGAGCCAAUGCUGAAUCUGUGGUGUCUGGAGCAGAAGGAAAGUUAGCAAAACGGGUGUUGUAAGAAGUAAAGAAAGCGAAGACCAUACCCCUAAUACUGAUCCAAUGUGUGGGUACCUUUUCUUCCUUUGUUGAGUAUCUGCAUGGUAGACAACUUGCGUUUACUAACAGAAGGAGUACCCUUGAGAAGAGCAAAUACAGGUGGGGCAUCGGAUCCUAGGAUUGGGGCACGAGUCGGCGGACCAUAAUCAAUCGGCUGGCCGCUAUUACUUACAGUUGGACUUUCAUUAUCAAGCCAUUUGAAUUAUAUUCUGGGAAGAUUUUCUUGCAGUAAUAUGUAGCUAAUUUGUUGGUUAGAUAAUUCCUCCAUUCAUCCACCAUAAGACAAAGUGCUUUGAUGCAAAUCCAGAAAGACAUUGCCAUUCUAGAAGGGCAGGAAAAGGUAUUGAGGCAGUUAAGUUUUCAGUCUAUCAUACUCAAGGGGUUGACCCAGAGGGUCCCUAGCUCUCACUUUGUCCAUAAAAAACAGGCUCAUUGGGACUUGGCCGAAACCCAAUCGACAAGCAAAGACUGAUCGAUUAU
rnacentral:lncRNA from 1 species